ACAACGAACCCGUGGAGCUCCCGUGUCAUACACAGCGUCUGGCCAUUCGACAAUAACCACACUUGUAAUCAGUAGCUGGUCACGAUUUCCGUGACAUUAAUUGCUCAUAAAAAUGCUCCUGCGUUAUCGAUAACUUUUCAUUUCACUGUAGCAACUAGCUAGCUGGCACCAGGUAACUACCCGCCAGGCAUGUUCGCUGUUGUUCGUGAGAGGCAUAAGACUCUGGGCUGGUUUAAAAGAUGGAAAAUUUUCGACUCACCAUUCCAGCCAAGUUCCAGUGGGACUGUAAUGCAUUAAAAUGUCUGGCAUUUUCUUCACAAGGAGCCACGGAAUCAAGACAAGUUCAAGAGGUUACACCGUCACGAAUGGGUAUUAAUUGGAGCUUGCGGAUUAAAAUAUGUAACAAGACCUGUAAUAAAAAUAUUUAUAAUUUGGAGAUGUCAUAUAAAACUAUUUAGUAGAAUUGAAUGUCAGCGUAAUUAAUCACUUGACGCGUCCUGUGAUUGAAAUAAAUUUACGGUUUUUAGCGUGUCGAGCAAAAAGACAGAUUUCUCUUCUGUUGCGCUUAAAAAGUUUUGAUUUCACCGCCUGGAGGAAGAGCGAUAAAAUAAAAAAAAGUAAACGGAGAGAGACCCCGAUAGACUGGUCGUGGUCACGUAUUGCAACAAUCGGAAAUCAGAGAGAAAGACGGCGGAAGUGGCUGUAUAGGGGCCCUUGGGGUCCCUUUUACCGAUACGCACGAACGCGGCGCCUCCAUAGAUACAGAUACAGAUAUAGAUAUACAAUAUAAUAAAUAUACAUAAAUAAAAUAUAUAUUUAUUUAUUUAUUUACGUGUAGGAACGAUGCUGUAGACACUCUCAGGAAUAUAUUUGCCCUGGCAGAUGGCUCAAAAAAAGCCGAUCGGCGGAAACGCUCGGCCAGUUGGAACGGCGACCCGUGGGAGAAAUAGGAUUCAGCUCGGUUAGUUGGUGGAUGAAACCAACGCCUGCCCAGGAAUCACGACGACGGCCACGACGCCUGGGAACUGGAAUUUCUUAACUUCUUCCGACAAUACUCCUAUCCUCUUGCUUUAUACAUACAACAUACAACAUAUUCAUAUAUAUGCAUCUACAUCUACAUCUACCCACCCAGACACCGUGUAAGAAUGUGUUGUAAGAAAGACCUCAGAAGGGCUACAGCCCCGUUACAAGCUAGUUAUACGCCAAAGAGUAAAGAUUUUAUUGCGUGUCGCGGACUUGGGACCCGCAUGCUAUGCACUUAACCGGUGCGGGUGUCAACUUGGUGUCGUUCUAAUCACCAGCCAAUAGAAGUUUCUUGUUAUGUCGGAAAGCACUACACCCAGAGGAAUAAUACUUCUAUUUUUUACUCUUGCUCUAAAGAGCCCAGAGGUAAUUACUUUAGCUAGGAGCUUAGAGCGCCGACGAUCGUUAAGUUUAUUCAAAUAGGAUCCUAGUUCGUAGAACUGCCAGCAAGGACUGCAUAGCAAUAAAUAAGACUAUUUUUAAGCUGCUCGACAUACGAGUUAAUAAAAGUUGGGAACAAAAGAAAGAGAAAAUCGGCAUCAGCUGAAGGUUAUUGUGCAACACAAUCGCAAAUCGCAAUAGACUUCCCAGAACAGUGGACAAUUAAAAUUAUUAUAACUGAGCAAGACCGUGAGCAAAUAAAAUGCAAACGGUGCUAUACAUACAACAUUGAUAUGAGCAGCUCUUGCUAUUAUUCACCACUCUACUCACUCGCAAUGUUAAUACAUUAUAUCGUGCAGUGUCGUUAUCCAUUAUUGCCAGCUAUUGCUAGUCCAAUGGUACUGCAUUGGGACUGACUCUGACUAGGCUAGCUGCGCUCGAAGAAGGCCGUCGUUGAUCGUUUCGUUGUAAGGUUUGCUUACAAGUCGCAAUCACUCGGCCUGACCUCGCUUGAGAUAGCCAGAUAAAAUAAUUGAUUAUUAAUGUAAUAUCUAAUGUAAUGUAAUGUAAUGUGUCUAGUUGCAUGCAUGAGAAACUGUUUUUAUGGAUAUGUUUAAUAAUAAUACUUAUCCCGUGCAUGAUCCUGUCACCAAGUACAAGAUACAAUAAAUCUAAUAUAUUAUAAAUUU
rnacentral:lncRNA from 1 species